GCAGCGUCCUAGAGAAAGCAGAAACGGCUGCUUCCAGGGGGAGAGCCCCGAGCUGCUGGGCUGAGGCAGGAGCGCAGGUGGAGAAGCCAGAAGGACCCCUGGGUGCCUGGACUCUGAGCUCAUCAGGAACAGGGCUGCUUACUCGGGAGAACAGAUUUCCACCAACCUUUUGCUCUGAGCAGAAAUAAAUCCUCUUCCUCCCUGGAACAGUUAGUAGCAUGAUCUCCAUAUGGGAGGGUCUUGGGCAGUAAUUACUUGGAUAACGGGUCCGCUCUCCUCCUAGAGUCUGUUUGGUGAGCCGUCUGGGCAGGGGACAAGGCAGGGCAACCGGAGUCACAGGGUUUUGGGGGUGCCGGCCAGCGGGCAGCAGGGGUGGGCGUGCACGGCCAUCCUGACCGGUCACCCACGGGGAGUGAGGCAGGAGGGAAUCACUACGACCGAGUAGGUGUUGUUCCAGGAAAUCCCUCGUGAUUUCCAGGAAAUCACCUCGCUGGCAGAUCUUAGGGGAGAAGUUAUGUCCCCUCAGAGGAUGAGACUGAAUUUAACUCUAUCUCCCUUCAUAGUGGACGCAGAGAUGUAAGGGUUACCUUACCUGUUAAAGGGCAACUCCUACAAGCCACAGCGGACCUCUGGCUUCCCCGGAAACUCCAGGUGCGAUCUCUGCGGAGUCGGGCCAAGGGCAUGACUGCUCUCACGGCAAUGGCCAUCUGGCCAAAAGAGACGGGUAAGAACUGGAAAGGAGACACAGACUCGUUCAUGGAGACAACAUAACCUUCCACAUAGAGCAAUUGCCCAAUAUAAAAACCCACAGCACCGCUACCCGAUGGCCGACGCUAAUUGGAAAAUGCAGUAGAAAAAACCCAUACUUCUCACGGUAGCGAUAGAACUCUAAGUACUUAGCAGUAAAUAAAGCUGUGCGGCAUCUCAAAUGGGAAAAUAUUAAAAUUUUAUUGGAGGAUACAGAUGAAGGUUUAACUAUUGCAGACAUAGACCGUGAGCAGGAAGACUCGGUUUUAAGUGUUCACUUUCUCUGUAAAAAAACCUAUAAACUAAAUACCGUUUCAUUUAAAAUCCUAACAGUGUCCUUUGGGGCACCUGAUCAAGUGGAUGGCUGCUUCCCAUGGAUAUUGAAGGACCAAGAAUAGUCCAGACAAGGCUGAAACCAGAGCAGAAAGGAGAGAGACUCCUUCCAUCCAAAAGCGACUGUCCGGGGCGCCUGGGUGGCGCAGUCGGUUAAGCGUCCGACUUCAGCCAGGUCACGAUCUCGC
rnacentral:lncRNA from 1 species